GUGGGCGCUAGGUGUGAGGGUCUUUUCACGACUUUCGUGCCGUAGCUAACGCAUUAAGCGCCCCGCCUGGGGAGUACGGCCGCAAGGCUAAAACUCAAAGGAAUUGACGGGGGCCCGCACAAGCGGCGGAGCAUGUGGAUUAAUUCGAUGCAACGCGAAGAACCUUACCUGGGCUUGACAUACACCGGAUUGGGCUAGAGAUAGUCUUUCCCUUUGUGCUGGUGUACAGGUGGUGCAUGGCUGUCGUCAG
rnacentral:rRNA from 1 species